rnacentral:lncRNA from 7 species
UUUCUGGACAUCCCUCCCUUGUGGAGUUCCCCUUGCAAGCCUAGAUCUUCAGAGACAGCAGAAAGAGGCUGCCAUUCUUCCAGCAAGCUGAGAGGUUCACUUGCUAUCUCAAUCUGGGAUUUAGCAGGAUUCAAAGCUGAUUAGGUGUUCAUACUGUGGGACUCUGACCAAUGGGUCCUUCCAAGAAAAUCAGCAUCAGUGAUGUUCUCUUGUCUCUGACAGAGGAAAACAAAAGAGCUUCAUUGGAAAGAAUGGAGCCUGAGAGGACAGCCAGGAAGCUGUUUCCGUACUGAGGUUGCUAUUGGGCAGAAAGACAGCUGAAAUCUCUGAAUUCAUUGGUAAUGCCAGUCACAUUGAGCAGAUGGUCACCCUAGACAGCUGGGGGAGUUUCUACAAUUUUUCCUAAAAAAGUUUCUCAUAGAGCAGAAAGACCUUCGUGGUUCUUGCAGAAUGGAAACACUGGGACCUCAUUUGACAUCCCAGACCCUAUGCAGUUGAAGCCGUGGUAGAAAACAGAACUCCGGGAGCUGAGAUGGCUGGUUGGAACAUGGAACCAUUGAUCAACAUAAAAAAUAGUGAACAACAGGAGACAGAAAGUUUGUAUCUCCAAGUGCCUCCUUCAAUAAGACCUGCUUAAACAGCCCUAGGGGCUGAGCCCCUUGGUACAACCCCCUGACUCCAAUUGACUUUGGAUCAAAUUCUGAAUUAAGCAGUAAAUCACACUGCUCAUCCUAGGCACAAGAUGGGAGUUACAAGAGUUAGACAGUGAUUUAUGAGACAUUUGAACUAGGGCCUGUAUGCUCACCUUGAAAUAUAACUUUCAUCCUUCCGGAUUGUCAGUGCAUGGAAAGAAACGGACGUGUCCAGCUUUGCUGCCCGAUCUGUUCUUUAGACAAUUGUAGCAGUAAAAAAAGGGGCUACUAGAAACUUUUGUAGGCUGGUGCAGCAAGGUUUUGAGGUUUGGUUUUGUAGUACUGUGCCCAAAAACAGAAUUCUGUAGGAUUCGGGGAUAUUGUUGCUAUUCCUCGUGCUUGUGAACCCCUGGAAAGGUGUCUGAAAUUGCACUUGCAUCUCUGUAAAGCAGUAAGAAGCAAAGUGACAGCAAGUUAGAGAUGUUUGCUCACUGACUUUUCCAGUCCGUGAAGCAGAGAUAACCUAACGACGCUAACAAACAGUGAUCCAAAACAAACACAGAGCAUGCGAAUAAGCUAUGAAACUCCUCAGC